CUACGUAGGGGACGAGCGUUGUCCGGAAUUACUGGGCGUAAAGGGCGCGCAGGCGGAUAUUUAAGUCAGCUGUAAAAGGCAUGAGCUCAACUCAUGUAUGCGGUUGAAACUGGGUAUCUAGAGUGCUGGAGAGGUAGGCGGAAUUCCCGGUGUAGCGGGGAAAUGCGUAGAUAUCGGGAAGAACACCAGUGGCGAAGGCGGCUUACUGGCCAGCAACUGACGCUGAGGCGCGAAAGCCAGGGGAGCGAACGGGAUUAGAUACCCCGGUAGUCCUGGCCGUAAACGAUGAAUGCUAGGUGUGGGUGUCGAGAGGCAUCCGUGCCGGAGUUAACGCGAUAAGCAUUCCGCCUGGGGAGUACGAUCGCAAGAUUGAAACUCAAAUGAAUUGGCGGGG
rnacentral:rRNA from 1 species